rnacentral:lncRNA from 1 species
GAAUGUAAGUGGUAUGUAAAAAAAUUAGAGUUAGAGUUAAAGUGGAAGAAGGAGGCUAAGAAGAUCAUGAUAAAUGGUUAGGAUUAUUUUUAUUUGAAUCUUUUAAGAUUUAUACAAUUUUAGUAUAUUAUUACUUAUUAUUAUUAUUAUUAUUAUUAUUAUUAUUAUUAUUAUUAUUAUUAUUAUCUUUGCCCUUUAAUUUCGUUAGUUAUUAUUAUUAUUAUUAUUAUUAUUAUUAUUAUUAUUAUUAUUAUUAUUAUUAUUAUUUUUUAUAAUAACUUUUACUUAUUUUUUAUUAAUGGAGAAAUUAUAAAGUAAAAUGCAUAGUUAAAAUAUUAGUUAGCUACCUUAUACUUAAAUAUAUAUAUACAUAAGAAAAUUAAAUAUUUACAUUGUUGUUUAAAUUAUCUAAGAAAAAUGUUAUAGCUUACAUUUAAUAUUCUAAUUAGAUUUUUUUUUAAUUUUUUUAUUUAAAAGUAGGAGUAUAACUUAUACUCUAAGAAUGUGAAUUUAUAGUUAAUAUAUUUUUUUUUCUAAAACAAAACCUACAAAGAGUAAGAUAAAAGUUUUAAAAAUAUUAAGAUUAAUCGUAAAAGAAAUAUUUACAUUAAACUAGUAUAGAAUUUGAGAAUAGGUAAAAAUUAGGUGUUCAGGGAAUAGAAGUAGCCAAGAAGAUCCAGGAACAAGUGGGUGCUCUCAUGACCAGAAUGCAACAAGUAAUUUACUCUUAAUGUUUUUAUACUCUUCCUUUUAGAUAUUUCUUCUUCUUAGCGACUUGAAUCAUCUUCUAUCCUUUUUCACAAUUCUAUUAUUCAUUUUCUCCUUCUUUAUUUAUCUUUAUGACAAUAAGUUAUUGAAUUGGAAUAUGUUCUGGUGCGAUUCUGAAAUUCUGAAAUAUAUGUUGUGGUGCGAUUAUGAAAGUCUGAAUAUGCAAAAUCUGGUUUCAUGGCUGUUUUUGUCUGCAUAACUAAAGACAUGUACAUGUGUAUUUGAUAACAUGCAGACUUAUAUGUAUCAACUUGUUUUAAAUUAAAUUCUAUGCUUUGGAGGCCUUAAAAAUCUCAUUUAGAGUCGCUUUGAUUUGCGUGCAUAGUCUGGACGUGUAGCCGGAAAGCUUAAAUAUGAAAUUCUGUGAAAAAAUACUAAGUUUUAAUUUUAAAAUGAAUAAAUUGACUUCGGUCAAUAUUUUGGGAAAAAGGACCCAGACCCGUGAUUUGAUGGUCCUGGAAGGUCCGUAGAAAAAUAUAGGAUUUGGGUGUAUGCCCAGAAUCAAAUUCCGAGGUCCCAAACCCAAGAAAUAAAUUUUUUUGUAAAUUUAUUUUUUGAAAAUGUUUAAGGAAAAUUGAAAAUGAAAUCUGAUUAGAAAGCGUUGGUAUCGGGCACGUAUUUUGGUUCCGGUACAGGUCUUAUAUGUGGUUUGGGUUAUUUAUGUAAAAUUUGAUUAAAAACGGACGUCGUUUGACGUGGUUCGGACUUGAAUUGCUAAAUUUGAUUCUUGAUGAAGUUUGAGAAAAAAAUUCUUGAUUUUGAGGUUUGAUUCAUUAUUUUUGAGGUUAUUUUGAUGAUUUGAUCGCACGGAUAGGUUUGUAUGAUAUUGUUGAGUUAGUACAUAUAUUUGGUUAGGAACCCCGAGGGCUCAGGUGUAUUUCGGAAGGUUUUAGACUUAAGAAAAAGUUGCAGAAAUAGCAAUUCUGGGGUUUUGAGAGUUAGUGCUAUGCGAUCGCAUAGGCAGUCUCGCGAUCGCAUAGUGUAAGAUUUUAAGUGACAUGUUUUGUUCUAUAUGAUCGCAUAGGUCCUUUCGCGAUCGCGUAAAGUAACCACAACCUAUUCUACGCGAUCACAUUCUUCUUCCGCGGUCGCGAUGCAUUAAACUAAAUCUGGGAAGCGAAGUCCUUUUCUUCUAUGCGAUCGAGUGCUUGGUUCGCGAUCGAAAUGACCAACUUUUCCUUACUUUAUGCUAUUGCAUGACCUUCUUCGCGACCGCAUAGACCAUUUAUGCCCAGUAAUUUUAAAAGACCCAAAACAGUAGUGUUACAGGAUUUAUCAAAAUUUCACAAAACCUCUUCUUCUCCAAAGUAGUGAUUCUUCACCAUAAUCUUUUGGGUUAGAAAUCUUUAGCUUAUCUUCUUCCAUUUUCAUCAACUUCUAUUGAAUUUUUAAACCCAAAACAUGUGAUUAAGGGUAGAAAAUUAGGGAUUGGAUAGAGUUAGUGCCUUUUGAUUAUUCUUGAUUUAGACCUUGUUUUGGGGUCGAAUUUGAAAAUAAAUUAUAUAUUCGGGCUCGUGGAUGAAUGGGUGAUUGGAUUUUGGUUCGAACCUCGUGUUUUGACUAAGCGGAUUUGGGAGUCGAUUUUUAGGUUUUUCGGAAGAAUGAUUGGAAAGCUAUAAUUAGGCAUUGGAUUCAAAUUGUUUAGCAUUUAUUGAUGUUAUGUAGUCAUUUAUGUAUAGAUUCAAUCGAUUUGGAGCCAAAUUCGAGAGGAAAAACGAUAACUGAGGGUUGAGUUGGCCGUGAAAGUUCGAGGUAAGUGUUUGGUCUAACCUUAGCUUGAGGGAUUAGGACUUGUGUCAUAUUUGAUAUUUGUUUUUUGUGGAGUACGACGUAUGGGCAUGGUGACGAGUAUAUAUACAUUGGUGUCAAGCAUGACCGUGAGUCUUAUACUAUGAUUUUCAUGAUUUCGUUGUAUUAUUCUAGCCUUGGUGAAGAUUUCUAUUUGCUGUAUUAAGUUCUGGUAAGAAUUGUGACUUAUGAACAUUAAAGAGCGAUGACUCCAGUUGUAUAAUAAAUUGUGAAAGUAUAAGUGAUAAUUGAAACUCUAGAGCAUUGGCUUGAGUUGUGAAGUGAAUUGUAAAGUAAAAGUGAGAAAGAGAAGAGACCAUUAUAUUGCCUCUUUGCCGGUUUAUUGUUGAGUUGUGGUUCCCUUGCAUUGUGUUCUUAGUUGAUAUUACGGAUGCUUAGCUUGAUGAUUCCUUGUGUUAGGUGUUGUAAUACGUUUAGUUAUAGUUAAAGUAGUUAGAUGUUGAAAUGAGAUUGAUUCUAGCUGAAGUAGUUUGGUGUUGUGACAAGUUUAAUUAUCGUCGAGUUAGUUAGGUGCCGGAACGAGUUUGGUUAUAGUUGAGGUAGUUAGAUGUUGUAGGCAUGUGAUUUUUGACCCUCAUCGAAAUUUAAUCCUUUUUAGCAUGUAAAUAUUUAAUUUAGGCCUAAUAUCUCUAUUUCAUCUAAUUUUGACGCUUUAACUUAUUUCGUCACAAAAAAUACAAAUUAUAAAAAAUAUUUUAGUUUAUGUAUCUUUCGUAAAUUUAAAUAAAAAAAUAUAUCUUCUUUUAAUUAUUGGUCAAAAUUAGUAAGUUAGUACUAAUUUUUCUUUAGUAGUUUUUCAUUCUUUUUGUUUCGUUAAAGGGAAAUAGUUCUUUAGUUAGUUCAUCUAGUUAUUUUGAUUUAGUAGAAUAGUAUUUUAUUUCAACAAUUCGUCUAUUAUUUGAAAAAAAAAGAAGAAAAUGAAAAGAAGUGAUAACUUUCCUAUUCUAGCUUUUGAAAAUUUUCGCUUCAAAUACAAUAAUGUGCCUAUGCAAUCCAUUUCUUAUACCUUUCAUUCAUUAUAUGGAAUCAGCAAUUUCAAUUUCCAAAAGGUGGUGCACUCGUGAGAAUGACAGUAAAUAAUCUCAUAAUGGCUAGAGUUUUAGUAAUUGAAAUGUGAUUGAAUUCUUUCUUCAUGAAAUAUGUGAUUCAAGCUUUUUUUGGUGAAUAUAUUUAAAACUGAAGCAUGCUCGAUUGUCUAGUUAACGAAUCACUCAAUCCGCUUAAAUCAUGAAGAGGAAUGACUGUUGGUUCUUCAAAUUUGGUCUAUGAUGAAAUCAUGUGUUGCAAUAUUGGCAUGUCUGCUGACUUGGAAUGAUGAGGGUAUAAAGUCGAAUUGAUUUUUGUUGUAAAAAUGGCUAUCUUCAUAAAUUGCUUAGACAUGAUUAAUCUAGCAUUGAUUUGUAAAUUGUUUCAAGUGGUUUCUCAAGUCAAUACUAAUGCACUGCCACAAUAACCAUUUGGUACAGUUAUG